CACCGGGCACCCCAUCCGCCCUCCAAGAGCCCCACGGCAAAGGUGGCUCCAUCUCCACACAGAGGUCGGCUGCUCUGGUCUCAGCCUGGCUUUUCGGGGCCAGGGGCCCCUGACCAGGGCUCAGCUGUGAGGGGCUGCCCAGAGAGGCCAGGCCACGCCCCUGGCUCCGCCCUCAGCCUUGUCCCCGCCCCCCAGCUUCUACAGAAGCUGAGCUGUAGCCCUCAGUUGCUAUGGGAACAGGGAAGCCGGUGCUGUCCCAGCCCCCCUCUUUCCACAGCUGUGUGCUCCCCUCCCGGAGUUCUGGGUGGGCGCCUCCCGGGCACCGGGCACCGGCCACGUGGGGCACCUCCACCUGGGAAACGGAAGAGACCUGCGGUUUGCAAGCGUGCUGAGCCAGCAGGGGGGCCAGAACUGAGCCAGGGGUCAGGGACAGGCUGGGGCCAGCGCUGCACACGCCCGGGCCGACUCCAGCCGUGCUGGGGGACGCUGCCCCUCCUCCAGGGCGGGAUCUCGCCGCAUUGUCCCCACACGCCCUGGGGACCCACCGCCCUGCCCGGCCCAGGUUCUGAAGCUGCCAGUGGCACUCCGAGGCCUCUGAGGCCAGGGGUGCAGCCGGCCGGGUAAAGGUGAUCCAGGACCAGGCUGUCGACAGGAACGGCCGCCGAGGACCGGGUGGGAGGGGCCGCGGUGGCCCUGGACCGUGGGGUGUCCAGCACCCGUGAGCCUUCCCCGCCUGUCUCCCAGCGGCCUGGUCCUGGUUGUGUUGCUCUCCAGCCCCCAGCAGCUCCAGGGGCUGAAACGGAGGCUCAGAGCUUCCGUCCCCCUAGGUCGACCCCCGGGGCAUCUGCAGGCCCCUCCCUCAGCCCUGUGGCCCCUCCUGCCCAUUGCUUCCGGCUCCUCCUCCUCCGUCCAGCCUAGGCUGGCGUGGGGUCCUGGUCCUGGCCUCUCUGCUCACACACGCCCUGACCGUGCCUGGAGCUCCAGGCCUGAGGGGCCCGAGGCUCUGCCACCCCCGGUCGGUCUCCGAGCGCCUGUCAGUGCUGAGGCUCAGCCGAGGCCCCGCCCCCGGCGCGCUCGUUGCAUCCCCUCUCUGUGCGGCUGUGGACACCUGGCCCUCCGUUCCGCGUCUCGUCUUGGAACUCAGGAUUGAAAGCCUCUGCCGGCGCACAGUGCGUGGG
rnacentral:lncRNA from 1 species